rnacentral:rRNA from 1 species
UACGUAGGUGGCAAGCGUUAUCCGGAUUUACUGGGUGUAAAGGGCGUGUAGGCGGGAAAGCAAGUCAGAUGUGAAAACCAUGGGCUCAACCUGUGGCCUGCAUUUGAAACUGUGUUUCUUGAGUACUGGAGAGGCAGACGGAAUUCCUAGUGUAGCGGUGAAAUGCGUAGAUAUUAGGAGGAACACCAGUGGCGAAGGCGGUCUGCUGGACAGCAACUGACGCUGAGGCGCGAAAGCGUGGGGAGCAAACAGG